GGAGCAGUCGGUAGCUCAGUUGUAGAGUGCAUGCUUUGUGUGGAUGACAUCCUGGGUUCGAAUCCCAUCUGCUCCC